AGAGUUUGAUCAUGGCUCAGAUUGAACGCUGGCGGCAUGCCUUACACAUGCAAGUCGAACGGUAACGCGGGGCAACCUGGCGACGAGUGGCGAACGGGUGAGUAAUACAUCGGAACGUGCCCAGUAGUGGGGGAUAGCCCGGCGAAAGCCGGAUUAAUACCGCAUACGACCUACGGGUGAAAGCGGGGGAUCGCAAGACCUCGCGCUAUUGGUGCGGCCGAUGUCAGAUUAGGUAGUUGGUGGGGUAAAGGCCUACCAAGCCGACGAUCUGUAGCUGGUCUGAGAGGACGACCAGCCACACUGGGACUGAGACACGGCCCAGACUCCUACGGGAGGCAGCAGUGGGGAAUUUUGGACAAUGGGGGCAACCCUGAUCCAGCCAUGCCGCGUGCGGGAAGAAGGCCUUCGGGUUGUAAACCGCUUUUGUCAGGGAAGAAACGCACUGGGCUAAUACCCCGGUGUAAUGACGGUACCUGAAGAAUAAGCACCGGCUAACUACGUGCCAGCAGCCGCGGUAAUAC
rnacentral:rRNA from 1 species